rnacentral:misc_RNA from 1 species
AUGAGAAUGCUUUACAGUGCUAAUGGUAAAAGGCUUUUUUCAUGUGGGACUAAUAAAGAUGGAGACUCCCACUUGGUGGAAUGGAAUGAAACUGAUGGUUUCAUAGUAAGGACCUACCUUGGACUUGGCAAAUGUUCUUCGGGUGUUGUGGAAUUCGAUAUCAGCAGGAAUAACUAUGUGGCUGCUGGAGAUUCCCAUGUAAUCAAAUUUUGGAAUGUUAAUGAUGCUCAACUCUUGACAGUUGUCGAUGCUGGUGGAGACCUUCCUGCAAGUCCAUAUGUUCGAUUCAACAAGAAUGGCACUUUAUUGGCUGUCUCUGUGGAUCAUAACAGUGUCAAAAUCUUGGCAAAUGAUGGUGGCCGCAUUUUGCUUCAAACUUCAUUGGAUGCCUCUACAUAUCUUUCUACAAGAGAGCUUGCAGGCAAUUCCCUAAGUGGUCCUGCUAAUAGUAGCUCGAUUGAUGGCAUUGUCCCUCCGGAAAUGACAGCAGAAAACCUGGCAAAGAUGGAGCAUCACAAGAUAUUAGGGAAUCCGAGCACCUCUAAGGUCGUCCAAAUUUCACGAUGUCAAUCUUUGAGGCUCCCCUCGGAAGUGAAGACAAAUAAGGUGUGUAGGUUAGCAUAUGCUCAGGCAGGAAAUAUUCUUGUGGCCUUAGUCACAGGUGGUAUUCAUCUAAUCUGGAAAUGGUCCGAGAGUGAUUCUAAUUUGACUGGCCAGACAACACCAAAAUGCACUCCUCAACUAUGGCAACCAAGGAGUGGGGUGGUUCCGGAAAACAGUCUGCUCAGUAGUGAUGCAGGAGCAGUUUCACCUUGCAUAGCUUUGACCAAUAAUGGUUUUUAUGCACUUUCGGCAUCCGGAGGAGCGGUUUCUAUAUUUAAUAUAAACCUCUAUAAGAUUAUGAAAAGUAUCACACCUCCUAAACCUGCAGCAACAUGUAUCGCUUGCCACCCGACUAAUAACAAUGUGAUUGCUGUUGGGAUGGA